GAAACAAAUGGCUGGAGUUAUUUCAUACCGAUUGAGCUCAGAAAUAUACCUUGCCACAUAGGCAAGUCAAAACAAUGCCACACAGGCAAGUCAAAAUAAUGUCACACAGGCAAGUCAAAUGAUGCCACACAGGCAACCAAAAUAAUGUCACACAGGCAAAUCACACAUUGAACCGCGAAUCCAAAUGUAUGCAAAUCAGAUAGGUGUGUUUAGCACAACAUCACAAAUCCGCAGAACAGAAAACUAGGGUUAACCUAUACGCCUCCCACAAUAAAACACCAAAUGGCC
rnacentral:lncRNA from 1 species